rnacentral:rRNA from 1 species
UACGUAGGUGGCAAGCGUUGUUCGGGAUUAUUGGGCGUAAAGGGUGCGUAGGCGGGUCUUUAAGGCAGGGGUGAAAUCCUGGAGCUCAACUCCAGAACUGCCUUUGAUACUGAGGAUCUUGAGUUCGGGAGAGGUGAGUGGAACUGCGAGUGUAGAGGUGAAAUUCGUAGAUAUUCGCAAGAACACCAGUGGCGAAGGCGGCUCACUGGCCCGAUACUGACGCUGAGGCACGAAAGCGUGGGGAGCAAACAGG